GAGAUGUGUCUGUUCAUGGCCCUAUUACUCAGUCUCAGUUCCUUGGCUCUCUUGGGAUAAAUUUCUGAGUGGAAGCAUUAUUACAGAACUGCACGGAGGAACAAUUUGAAUCUCUCAGGUCAGGGUAUUGGCAACUGGUUGGAGAAGGUUUGGGAACAUCUAGUGAAAUGUUGCCUAAAGAGUCACUAAGUGAUCAAGCAUGGAAUACCAAGCAAUGAAGCAAAAUAUAUUUUCUUUCAUCAUGUAAAUUCAGCUAGCUAUGAAACUUUAUAGUAAUGACAUGUUACUUGGAUUCAAUAUUUGGUGGAUAUAUUGGAAUUUUAUUGAUCUAUCACAUUGCUUUUGGCGUAAAUAUUAAUCAUUGUUCAUUGGAUAAUGA